rnacentral:lncRNA from 1 species
AUCAAAAUAAUAUAUUUAAUUAUUUCAUGUCUUAAAUCUAUCAAAAUAACUCAAGUUCAUAUACGACACGAAACUAAAUUAUCAUAAUUUUUUCUCCGGUAACAGCAAUAAGUAAGAUCUUAUAGCCCUUGUUUGGUUGGGGGUUAAGGGGUGGAAUAACCCCUUAACCUCCAUUUUAUCUCCAAACACUCUAAAAAAUGGAUGGGUUAGCUAACCCCACCUCAAAUAAAUUAUUCCGGAUUAACUAAUCCCGCCUAACCCCACCAAACUCCAACCAAACACUAUUUUUUAUUCAUAAUAACCCACUAUCUUUCUUAUCACACAUGCUCCAACCAAUCAUUAUCCUUCUUUAUCAAUCAUUAUCUUUUUAUCCCACCUACUCCAACCAAACACUAGUUUUCAUUAUUUUAGACUAACUCCAACCCCCAACCAAACACAAAAAAAUUUUAACCCUACUUUAACCCUGAACUUAACUCUAUUCCUGAAAUAGCUACUUUUUCCUUAAUCCCGAACCAAAAGGAGGCAAAAGGGUUGAUUCAAAUCUAACCCAACCCUUCACCUU